GGGCCGGGGCGUCAGGGCUACCCGUUUAUUACAUUAACACUAGUGCUGUCCGAGCAAUGUCCGAGCCUCUAGUAUUUGUAGAAACUCGAGUCCUUUGAGUCUGAAUUGACUCACUGACUCACGCUAGAAGAACAGCUCCUUUUUACAAGACUGCGCUUUUAAAACUUCUUCCAAGUCGAGUCCUUUGUAGUCUUUUUUAAGAGCAACUCAAAAGGACUGGAGCCUUCAAAUAAAGACGCCGUGAACAAUUUUGUAAGUAUUUCCUAUAUAACAGUAAAUAAAUUAAUCGUAAUUGUAUGAUUUCUGUACGCAUCUUAUCUACAAAUUAUACAUAAAGACAAUGUAUUUAGAUUUUUUUUGUAAAAAAAAACGAGAGUUCUCUGAAAAGUACUCAAGUCUCUACAAGAGACUUGGGUCUCUAUCUAGUUGAAAAGAACUCGAAAUUAAACUUAAUUAUAAGAGUCUGAAAACUCAACUCAGUCUUCAAGCAGAGGAUUGUAAGGGCUCGAGUACUGCCCAGCACUAUCCGAGCUGACCGGGACGUCCGAGCUGACUGUUCGUGACAAAUGUCAUAAUAAAUGUCAAUCAGAUUGAAAAAAAUGGUUCGAUCGAAAGCAAGCGGAUAUGGAAGGAAAUAAUAAAAUCAAAAUAUUGGCCCUGGCUGCCUUAAUGACUGAUGAAGAGGCUACUGCACAUUCUAGGUAAUGGGGCGUACAUGCACUUUGGUCGACACGUUCGGAAAAAUGAGAAUACACAGCAUGAUGUAAAGAGCUUUAUGUACUGAUAUGACCCAAGACUCUUUCGAAGCCGUUCACUACAGAAUUAAACAACGUUUAACAAAAACAAAAACUCUGGAUCUCUGCUUAAGGUAAGAUAUGGAAAUACAAUGCAUGUACCUACUAAUAAAUAUGUAUAAUCAAGUGCCGAAACAUAUUAAGCUAUUAAGAGGAAAGGGAAUGACCGAUUCUCCAUACAAACAUAGUUCCCGUUUUCCUGACUGGAUAUUGAUAUUAUGGAAUAUUUAAGUAGCCUUCAGCAAACUGUAGUGAUACCCAAUGCAUUUUGUUACAUUCCACAAUUGUAGAUUUUUCAGCUUAUCGGGUUUUGACAUUAUUUUCUCCCAUCAAUCCGACGUUCUUCAGUGUUCAUGUGUUCAGUUCAGAUUUGUUCAGUUCCAGGAACGCAUAAGAAACGAGUUUAAAACAGAAGAAAUUUACAAUGGCUGCGAGAAUGUAACAAAAAUUUAAAGUAUCGAUAUAAGAUAAUUAUCUUCAAGCUGUUUUCGGCCACAGCGAAUACAAUACAGCACUAAAAAUGUCGGUGGUGCGCACUCAAUAAAAUAAGCAGUUCAUAUUACGAGUGACGUGACUAUAUCAUCAUAUCAGCCUUUUGUUACCCACUGCUGAGCAUAGUCGAGACAGAUCAUCCACUCCAGAUGCAACCCUAAUACUGACCACGAUCCUCAGACAUGAGGGACCGACCAAAGAGAGAGCUGAGCAUAGGCCUCUCUUCGAAUACGCCACUUAUCCCGGUCCCAAGCCAAUCUCAUCCAGAAGUGACCCGCAGUCUUCCACCCAACGAGCUAACGGACGCCAGGCACUCCUUUCGUCUGUAUGCGGCCACCAUUCCGUUAACAUUUUGGCCCACCUGCCAUCACUCUGCCUGACAACUUGUCCCGCCCAGCUCCAUUUAAGUUUGGUAAUGACGUAUCCGACUUCUUGCAACUUGGUGCGAUGUCGAAUCUCUACAUUCCUCACUCGAUCUUGUAGUUUGAUGCCGACCAUGGCGCGCUCCAUGGCUCUUUGUGCCACUUAGAUUUUAUGCAUGACGUGACUAUAUAGAAAAAUAAAAAUAAAAAUAAA